UUUGGUCAAGCUCAUCCAAGAGCUACUGGCUAUGGCUUCCCUGGUAGUUCUUACAGAGCUUGGAGAAAGCGAUCAAAGACACGCCCUUCUAGGAGAGAGAGAGAGAUAUAGAGAGAGAGAGAGAAAGAGAAAGAGAGGUGGGCCUUUUUUUAUUUUUUUAAUGGUUAAAAUAAAUAAAUAAAUAUUAAAUUUUAAGAAUGUUAGGUCCAGUUNGCAAAGGGGGAGAUUGUUAGGUCCAGUUAGUGUUGCGUCUUGGGCUCGUUAGCUAGUCCAGUUUAGUCUCCGGUAUGGGCUUGUCCAUCCGUGAGUUAUUUUGUAGGGUUUAUUACUUAUAG
rnacentral:lncRNA from 1 species